rnacentral:rRNA from 1 species
AUGAAUCAACUACUCUCAUGGUCGGUCCCAUCCCAUCUAGCAUUAUUUACCGUCUAUCUGUCUGUAUGUAUUUACUCUGGAAAAAAUUCAGUCUGCACAUCUGCAUCUGCAUUGCACAAGUACAGAUACAUCCGCCCUUGCUAUUUUCUUGUUAUACAUUACAUAGAUGCAUACAUACGCCAGGCUAUUUCUGUGUCUGCCUUUCUGACCUCUCAAGGAUGCAUAUCUCGUUCGUAUGUACUGAAUUUUGUAACAAUUUUGUUUUCCUCAUCCUUACAGGAUGCUGCGCUCGCUACUUACAUGUUUUCUGAUGCCGCAACAAAGGACUAUAUGUGGUUUCUUCAGUGGGACUGUUGCUGUCACUCCUCAUGUUCAAUAACAUUUCAGCAUGGGACCUGCUAG